rnacentral:rRNA from 1 species
GACGAACCGUGCGAACGUUGUUCGGAAUCACUGGGCUUAAAGGGCGCGUAGGCGGGCUACCAAGUCAGGGGUGAAAUCCUGCGGCUCAACCGUAGAAGUGCCUUUGAUACUGGUGGCCUUGAGGGAGGUAGGGGCGUGCGGAACUUCCGGUGGAGCGGUGAAAUGCGUAGAUAUCGGAAGGAACACCGGUGGCGAAGGCGGCAUCCUGGACCGGCAUUGACGCUGAGGAGCGAAAGCCAGGGGAGCAAACGGG